GUCUGUCUGUCUGUCUCUCUGUCUCUCUCUCUCUCUCUCUCUCUCUCUCUCUCUCACACACACACACACACACACAGAGAGAGAGAGAGAGAGAGAGAGAGAGAGAGAGAUUUCCCUUGUUA